rnacentral:lncRNA from 1 species
AUGUACGUACUGCGUCAAGAGGAGGAAAGGAAGGUGCGCACUGCGUCAAGAGAGGAGAGGAAGGUGCGCACUGCGUCAAGAGAGGAGAGGAAGGUGCACACUGCACCGAUAGAGGAGGAAGGUGCGCACUGUGUCGAAAGAGGAGAGGAAGGUGCGCACUGCAUCGAGAAAGGAGGAGAGGAAGGUACACACUUCACCGAGAGAGGAGAGGAAGGUGCGCACUACGUCGAGAGAGGAGAGGAACGUGCGCACUGCAUCGAGAGAGGAGAGGAAGGUGCGCAUUGCGUCGAGAAAGGAGGAGAGAAAGGUACACACUGCACCAAGAGAGGAGAGGAAUGUACGUACUGCGUCAAGAGGAGGAAAGGAAGGUGCGCACUGCAUCGAGAGAGGAGGAAGGUGCGCACUGCGUCAAGAGAGAAGAGGAAGGUGCACACUGUGUCGAGAAAGGAGGAGAGGAAGGUACACACUGCACCGAGAGAGGAGAGGAAGGUGCGCACUGCGUCGAGAGAGGAGAGGAAGGUGCACACUGCGUCAAGAGAGGAGAGGAAGGUGCGCACUGCAUCGAGAAAGGAGGAGAGGAAGGUACACACUGCACCAAGAGAGGAGAGGAAUGUACGUACUGCGUCAAGAGGAGGAAAGGAAGGUGCGCACUGCAUCGAGAGAGGAGGAAGGUGCGCACUGCGUCAAGAGAGGAGAGGAAGGUGCACACUGUGUCGAGAAAGGAGGAGAGGAAGGUACACAAUGCACCGAGAGAGGAGAGGAAGGUGCGCACUGCGUCGAGAGAGGAGAGGAAGGUGCACACUGCGUCGAGAAAGGAGGAGAGGAAGGUACACACUGCACCGAGAGAGGAAGGUGCCCACUGCGUCGAGAGGAGAAAAGGAAGGUGCACACUUCACCGAGAGAGGAGAGGAAGGUGCGCUCUGUGUUGAGAAAGGAAGAGAGGAAGGUGCGCACUGCGUCGAGAGGAGAAAAGGAAGGUGCGCACUGCAUCAAGAGAGGAGAGGAAGGUGCGCUCUGUGUUGAGAAAGGAAGAGAGGAAGGUGCGCACUGCGUCGAGAGGAGAAAAGGAAGGUGCGCACUGCAUCAAGAGAGGAGAGGAAGGUGUGCACUGCGUCGAGAAAGGAAGAGAGGAAGGUGAGCACUGCACAAGAGAGCAGAAGAGGAAGGAGAGCUGGGUUGCUGUGCGGAGAGAUGAGGGUCCUGGCAGGAAAGCACCCAAGUAUAAGCCGAGGGUGGCUUUUUCAACUCCCAAGUCCGCCUCACCUUUCUGCACCUGCAGGUUCUUUUCCACUUCAGCCUGGAGCCUCUUCUGCCACUCCCACCCUGCAGCCUCCCUCCUUCCGCAGGACAGCCUUCUCUGCCGGGGGAAGGGUCCGGGUUCUGAGUCUGGAGCCAUUUCCAUAAAGGACAAAGCAGUCAAAAAGGGCAGAGCAGCAACAACCAUAGUUCAGCAGAUCAGUAGUAAUAAUAGUAACAACAACAACAACAACUUUAUUUAUAUCCCGCCACCAUCUCUGAGGGGGACUCGGGGCGGCUCACAAAACACUCAAGGUGUGACACAAAAUACAACAAGUGCAAAAUAAAACAUAGGUAAUAAAGAGUCAACACAACAUCAUAAAUUCACAGUACCCCCGGUAAAAACAAUAAAAUACAGCUAUUGCUGUAGAUAAAACAGCAGUAUUUGACCUCAGAAUAGUAAAGUGCUAACAAAAGAGUCUAAAGGUCCUCAUAUGUAUUAUAAGAGAGUCUAAACAUGAACAAAGGCUUGUCAGAAUAGCCAGGUCUUUAAAUGUGUGCGGAAGGUUUUGGGGGGGGGGGGGGCUAGCAUGAUCUCACUUGAAAGGGCACUCCAGAGCCAAGGGGCCACCACUGAGAAGGAAGGCCCUCUCUCUCGUCCCCACUUAAGAUGGAGGUGGGACCAAGAGCAGGGCCUCCUUCUCCGGUCGAUCUUAAAGCCCAUGCCGGUUCAUAAAGAGAUACGGUCUCGAAGACAGGUUGGACCCGAAGCGUAAAGGGCUUCAUAGGUGAUAACCUGCACUUUGAAUCAGGUCCGGAAAUUCAUUGGCAGCCUGUGGGGCUGCUUUAAUAGGGGCAUGGUGUGCUCCCUAUAACCAGCUGCUCUUUGUUACACUCUCAGCACUUACAGAUUAUUCAUGAAGCACUUGCGGCCUUUUACUGCUGCAAAGAGAAAUAUGGCCACCUGCCAAAUAGUAGAGGCUCCUCCUUUGGGGCUUUUAAGCAGAGGCUGGAUGGCCAUCUGUCAGGGUACUUUGAAUGCAAUUUUCCUGCUUCUCGGUAAAAUGGGGUUGGACUGGGUGGACCACGAGGUCUCUUCCGACUCUAGGAUUCUAUGCUCCAUUGCCCUGAUCAGACAGUAGAGAGCUGCGAGACCAAUUUAGGGUUCUUCCUGGCCAACUGGUGAGUAGAGGGGAUAUUAGCCUUGAGGGAGAAAAGGAAGAAAGGGGAGAAGGGAGGAAGGGAGGAAGGGAGGUGCCAAUGACACAAACAACACAAGGUGCCAAUGACACAAACAACACACUCCCAGUGCAACUGGCAUCCCCAAAGCACACUUCUGAAGGAAACUAGCACAUAUCAAAACAUAGCGGGUGACCAUCCAAGUGCCUUGAUUUUCCUUGACUCACACACACAUCUAUCUAUCUAUCUACCGUAUCUAUAUGUUUGUAUUUAUUUAUUUAUUUACUUACUGUUUUUAUAUACCGCUUUUCUCACCCAGGGGAUUUGGGGGAGGGGGGGAACAGGACUCAAAUCGGUUUACAACAUAAUGGGAAAAAUUCAAUGCCUAACAUACAUAUAAAGUAAGACGACAACAAGGCUGAUCUGAAAUGGUUUUAAACAAUUGAUUUAAAGACAAAAUAAUGUGGUUUUAGUGUUUGUGUAUUUUUAGUUAUUUUAUGUCCCAGCAUUGAAUGUUUGCCGUAUAUAUCUUGUGCUCUGCCCUGAGUCCCCUUUGUGAUGAGAAGGGUGCAAUAUCAAUGCUUUAACUAAAUAAUAACUCAAUAAAAGAAAAUCAUAAAAUCUAAAAAAAGAAACGUAAGUAUCCAUUAAAAUCAAUAAGACCAUUAAACAUAAGAUAUAAACAACAUUUAGAUAUGAGGACAUAGAAUUAAAACACGUCAUAUUAAAAUCACAUGAUCCAAAGCUGUAGACUGGGCCACUGCAAUGGUCAAUUGCACAUAUGCCAUAUUUAUUUCUCGCACCGCAUUAUAUUGUAUGCAUAUAUAGUAGAGUCUCACUUAUCCAAGCCUCGCUUAUCCAAGCCUCUGGAUAAUCCAAGCCAUUUUUGUAGUCAAUGUUUUCAAUAUAUCGUGAUAUUUUGGUGCUAAAUUCGUAAAUACAGUAAUUACAACAUAACAUUACUGCAUAUUGAACUACUUUUUCUGUCAAAUUUGUUGUAUAACAUGAUGUUUUGCUGCUUAAUUUGUAAAAUCAUAACCUAAUUUGAUGUUUAAUAGGCUUUUCCUUAAUCCGUCCUUAUUAUCCAAGAUAUUCACUUAUUCAAGCUUCUGCCAGCCCGUUUAGCUUGGAGAAGUGAGACUCUACUGUAUGUACGUAUCUGUGAGAGAGACAAACACAAGGCUGUUCCCCCAGAAGAGCCCCUUUCCUUCCUUCCUUCCUUCCUUCCCUCCCCUGAUGCAGAAUAAGGAAGAUAAAAGGCACUGGGUUCAAUCCAAGCGGAAAGGCCUUUCUUAGCCUGCCCUGCAAGGGGUCACGGGUCCCAUGUUGUGGCUCUUUGUGUUGGGGGACCGGGGGUCGCUUCUGGCUCUUAUUAUUAGAAAGAGUAAUUGUUAAUGUUAGAGAGAAUGUUCCAUAGGUGAGUUUCACACAGGAAUAAGACACACGAUGCGCAUCGGGCCCGAAGCACCGAUUGCGAUUUACACAAAAAAAGGACGGACGGACGGAAGGAAGGGAGGAAGAGGAGAAGAGAAGUCUUACUCCCAGGGCAGCUGGCCUCCCUAAAGUACAGUUUUGAGGGAAACAACGCAUUUGCAAACAAAGCGUGUGACCAGGCACAUCCAAAUGCCCUCAUGUUCACUUACACACAAACACACACAUCGAUUUAUCUACCUACCUAUUUAUAUGUUAGUAUUUAUAUAUUUACUAGCUUGGGGUGGUGGCCGGGUUAUUAGAAGAAGGCAUUGUUUGUUUUGGGAAGUUAGGUAGUAUCCUAAGUUUGGUCCAGUUUGCUCAGGGUGAACUGCAACUCCCAGAUUUCCAGGGCAAUCGCCUCCAAACUCCGCUUGUAUGCACACUUGGCCAGGUUGGGUCUGUGAGCCAGGUUUGGUCCAGAUCCGUCACUGGUGGGGUUCAAGGUUCUCUGAACACGGGUGAACUGGAACUCCUGGGUGUCAAGGUGAGGCUGCAGAUUUGGCCAAGUGAGCUCUGGGUGCC